UUUUUAAUUAUGGGCUUUCUUCAAACAAACUCUUUCCUUGAAUGCCCCUUCGCAUUGGUUCUCAAUUCCUUUGCGACUUGAUCAUCGACGCCGCACUCGCAGCAACGAUCAACCCUCACACACUGAUAGACCAGCGCCGCGGCACGAGCAGCGAAAUCUCGAGGGUUUUAGGCUUUCGGUGAAUUACUUAUUCACUUACUUGAAUUCGUAUAUGUGAAUAUAUAUAUAUAUAUAUAUAUGUUUUUUUGUGAGUAUAUUUUAUUUGGAAAUGAGUUGAAGAUAAAUCCACUAAAGAAUAUCCCUAUUUUACUACUGAUGCUGCUUCAUGAUUGUCAUAAUUUGUUCAGAUUGAGCAUCUGAAUUCAACCAAUGCAUGGCACGGCUGUGGCAGUAAUUGAUUGGUAUAUUUUACUCAUCAUGCUUGCUUUAUUUUACUCAUCAUACUUUAUUUGUGGCAUUCUAUCAACUUUCUUUUCAGUUUUAUUUGAAUCAAAACUAUUUAUCUAGAAUAAAUCUAAGAAAUUAAAAAAGGUUAAUUAAAAUAAAUUAUUUGUAUUAAUGUUAUUUAGAAUUUUAUUUACAAAAUAUUGGCAUAAAUCAUAAAACCGAUGUUCAAUAAUGUCAUAGGAAACUAUUUUAUUAAUACAUUUCUUAGGUCUUAGUUAUGUAUGAGUACAAUUAUGUUAUUAUCUAUGCUAUAUAAAAAUUAAUCUUGU
rnacentral:lncRNA from 1 species